rnacentral:rRNA from 1 species
GACGAACGCUGGCGGCGUGCUUAACACAUGCAAGUCGAGCGGUAAGGCCCUUUCGGGGGUACACGAGCGGCGAACGGGUGAGUAACACGUGGGUGACCUGCCCUCAGCUCUGGGAUAAGCCUGGGGAAACUGGGUCUAAUACUGGAUAUGACUCCACGGUGCAUGUCGUGGGGUGGAAAGCCUUGUGCGGCUGAGGAUGGGCCCGCGGCCUAUCAGCUUGUUGGUGGGGUGAUGGCCUACCAAGGCGACGACGGGUAGCCGGCCUGAGAGGGCGACCGGCCACACUGGGACUGAGACACGGCCCAGACUCUUACGGGAGGCAGCAGUGGGGAAUCUUGCGCAAUGGGCGAAAGCCUGACGCAGCGACGCCGCGUGAGGGAUGACGGCCU